rnacentral:snRNA from 1 species
AGAACAUGAUCGUUUGGUACGAA